GAAAAAUAAUAAUUCUGAAUUCACUGCAUCCAUUUAUAACAAUAGUAAUAUUAGAAUGACCAAGAUUGAAUUUGACGCGUAAUUAUAAAAGAUCAUCAUGAUCACUCAAAUAAAUUGAUUGAUUUGAACUUAUAGCAGAAUUUACACUUCAAUUUCACCACUGUGCAAUGUGCACAAGGCAACUCUUUUAUACAUGAUGUUUCUGUUCUGUUCAUCAAGCUUUUUACUUAUUCUGCUGCCACAUCCAAACAGUAACGACUCCAGCUGCAUCACCUGUGAAA
rnacentral:misc_RNA from 1 species